rnacentral:rRNA from 1 species
AGAGUUUGAUCAUGGCUCAGGACGAACGCUGGCGGCGCGCUUAAUACAUGCAAGUCGAGCGAGAACCUAGGCUUCGGCCUAGGGGACAGCGGCGAACGGGUGAGUAACACGUGGGUAAUCAACCCCCGACACCGGGAUAGCCCAGGGAAACUUGGAUUAAUACCGGAUGCCCCAUCUGGCUUUCGAGCCGGCUGGAAAAGGGUAGCUUCGGCCUCCGGUCGGGGACGAGCCCGCGGCGGAUUAGCUUGUUGGUGAGGUAACGGCUCACCAAGGCGACGAUCCGUAGCUGGUCUGAGAGGACGAUCAGCCACACUGGGACUGAGACACGGCCCAGACUCCUACGGGAGGCAGCAGUAGGGAAUCUUGCGCAAUGGGCGAAAGCCUGACGCAGCGACGCCGCGUGAGGGAAGAAGGCCUUCGGGUUGUAAACCUCUUUCAGGAGGGACGAAGCCACUCGGGUUAAUAGCCCAGAGGGUGACGGUACCUCCAGAAGAAGCCCCAGCUAACUACGUGCCAGCAGCCGCGGUA